CCUACGGUGAGCAGCAGUGGGGAAUAUUGCGCAAUGGGCGAAAGCCUGACGCAGCGACGCCGCGUGAGGGAUGAAGGUCUUCGGAUCGUAAACCUCUGUCAGCAGGGAAGAACGGUCACUGUGCUAAUCAGCAGUGAAUUGACGGUACCUGCAAAGGAAGCACCGGCUAACUCCGUGCCAGCAGCCGCGGUAAUACGGAGGGUGCGAGCGUUAAUCGGACUUACUGGGCGUAAAGCGCUCGUAGGCGGUAUGUCAAGUCAAGGGUGAAAUCCCCGCGCUCAACGUGGGAACUGCCUUUGAAACUGGCAAACUGGAGUGUGUGAGAGGAUAGUGGAAUUCCAAGUGUAGGAGUGAAAUCCGUAGAUAUCACGCAGAACCCCGAUUGCGAAGGCAGCAUACCGGUGCACAACUGACGCUCAGGCACGAAAGCGUGGGUAUCGAACAGGAUUAGAUACCCGGGUAGUC
rnacentral:rRNA from 1 species